rnacentral:rRNA from 1 species
CACGUAGGGCGCAAGCGUUGUCCGGAAUUAUUGGGCGUAAAGAGCUCGUAGGCGGUCUGUUGCGUCCGCUGUGAAAACCCGGGGCUUAACCCUGGGCUGGCAGUGGAUACGGACAGACUAGAGGUAGGUAGGGGAGAAUGGAAUUCCCGGUGUAGCGGUGAAAUGCGCAGAUAUCGGGAGGAACACCGGUGGCGAAGGCGGGUCUCUGGACAGUUCCUGACACUGAGGCACGAAGGCCAGGGGAGCAAACGGG